GACUGUUUGUGUUGUUUGCUUCUCUGUCCUUGCUUCACCAUCAUCACCACUCUGACGCUACCCUUUCACCUCACAUCAACCAAAACACUCAUCCCCUUCCCUUCCCUUCCUCCUCUUAUAUCAUACUCCCGAUACAAAACACUGGCGAAAGGAGAGAGAACCACGUUUGAAGAGAUAGAGCGCCGCGAGAGUAGAUAUAGAAAGAGUGGUCCAGCGAUCGACGAUUAGGAAGGUCACAGCGGUGGUUCUGCUUCUGGCGAUGGGGGUGACUUCAAGAAACGAAGACCCGAUUAGGGUUCAAGUGAGAUUCCGGCUACCCUUUUUUACACUGGUUCAAUUGAUUGAUGCCUGGAGUUCUUAAGCUUGCUUCUUCUUGGUAUAGGUUCUUCACUCCGAUUAUAGGGUUCAGUGGUCAAAGACGUCCUUAACCGCUCACAAGGCCUUGAUUCGGACUCCAAGAGAACAUAUGAAGCUGCAAUAAUGAAGGUUCAGCAUGGUUGAGAAGCAAUAAGGAGAUAUUAAGGUUUAGGAUGGUUGAGAAAAAUGAUAAGAGUUGUUGGAGCAAAGAAUUUGUACGCAAAUCCUUCACCUUCUAACGAAGAGUUUCAGCUUGGUUCAAGUGGAUUAAAUUUAUGCAAUGUGAUUAAGAAAGUACAUCCUCAAACUGUUUCUAAGGUUGUAGAAAGUUCAUAUGAUCUUGCUGCUUCACAGGAUAGAGCUGCUUUAUUUGCAUAUCAGUAUUUUGAGAAUGCGAAGAACUUUUUAGUAGCUGUUCAGCAAAUGGGGCUCCAUACCUUUGAAGCGUCAGAUUUAGAACAAGGAGGAAAAACAUCAAGAAUUGUGUAUUGUGUGUUGACACUCAAACCAUACAGUUAGUGGAAACAAACAAGUGGCCAUGGAAUUUGGAGAUUUGGGGGAGUAGUGAAACUGAGCACGCCUAGCAAAGCAUUGUUCGCAGAAACUCAGGUCCCUUCUCAAAUUCUUUGUCAAGGAUGAAUGUUCAAUUUUUACCAAACUUUUGUAAUUGUUUGGUGCAAGAUACUUUACAAUUGAGUUGUUGCUAUCUUCUUGAAACCAAUACAAUUUUGUUUUUAUUUUUUUUUUUUACCAUUGAGUGUUUACUGAGAAAAUCAUGUUUAGUUAGUUAAUUGUCUCCUUGGCACAAAUCUUAUGAAACAAACCACUAUAAAAAUUUAGCAUUGUUCAUAAUUUGAUACCUAGUUACAUAUUAUAAUCCAAGGCGUUAGUUGCAUAUUAUUCGGUCCUCUAAAAAGAUUUUAAAGAAAAUGGAUUUUAAUUUUUUGGUGAAAGGUAUGGAAAAUGUGGUAAUUUGCAG
rnacentral:lncRNA from 1 species